rnacentral:lncRNA from 1 species
AGGUGGGGCUGUAAUCUCGUAAUUCCCAGUCAAAAGAGGUAGGAAGGGAUGCUGAGGACCCAGGGAUACUGAUGAUUGGGCUGACCCAGAAGUGGCCAUCUUUGUGGAAACCAGUCAUCCAGAGUAAAGUCAUAGGGCUCAAAGUCUUUCCGGAAGCGGCGAGCCAGGGUCUCCUCGUCUUCCUUGCUGAUCUGACACUGCCUCCAGUCAGACUUAUCAGGAACAUUAAGGAUGGCUUCACUGGCCAGGACCUCCCUGCAGAAAUAGCACAAAGAAGUCAAAAUGGAAACUAUCAGCCUGAGCUCUCCUCAACAUCACCCAAAGGAGGUAUGCAAAUUUCUCUGACUUUGCUCUCCUGCCCUGAGUGCCA